rnacentral:rRNA from 1 species
GACGAACGCUGGCGGCGUGCUUAACACAUGCAAGUCGAACGGUAAGGCCCUUCGGGGUACACGAGUGGCGAACGGGUGAGUAACACGUGGGUGAUCUGACCUGCACUUCGGGAUAAGCCUGGGAAACUGGGUCUAAUACCGGAUAGGACUCCUGGCUUCAUGGUUGGGGGUGGAAAGCUUUUGCGGUGUGGGAUGGGCCCGCGGCCUAUCAGCUUGUUGGUGGGGUAAUGGCCUACCAAGGCGACGACGGGUAGCCGGCCUGAGAGGGUGACCGGUCACACUGGGACUGAGAUACGGCCCAGACUCCUACGGGAGGCAGCAGUGGGGAAUAUUGCACAAUGGCGCAAGCCUGAUGCAGCGACGCCGCGUGAGGGAUGACGGCCUUCGGGUUGUAAACCUCUUUCAGCUAUGACGAAGCGCAAGUGACGGUAGUAGCAGAAGAAGGACCGGCCAACUACGUGCCAGCAGCCGCCGCCG